UACGGAGGAGGCAAGCGUUAUCCGGAAUUAUUGGGCGUAAAGCGUCCGCAGGUGGCGAUUCAAGUCUGCGGUUAAAGACUGGGGCUUAACCCUGGAAAGGCCGUGGAAACUGAAACGCUAGAGUGCAGUAGGGGUAGAGGGAAUUCCCGGUGUAGCGGUGAAAUGCGUAGAGCUCGGGAAGAACAUCGGUGGCGAAAGCGCUCUGCUGGACUGCAACUGACACUCAGGGACGAAAGCUAGGGGAGCGAACGGG
rnacentral:rRNA from 1 species